UCGAUCGUAAUUUCCAAGCCAGCUGGACGCAGUUUUUUUUUCGAUCAUACGGUAUUAUGUAUCAUACAAACAAGAAAUAACUUUGGCAACAAUGCUUAGGCAGCUUACAUCCUUAACAACAAAUGGUGACAGACGGCUCCGGCGGCAAGUUUGAAUCGAAAGAGUAAAUUGAUCAGGCAAAUAUUACAAAAGAUAUCACCAACUCUAUUUUUGACUUAUGAUUUAUUAAUGCUUCUCACUGAUUAAUUUUGACCUUUAUAUUAAUAAAAAAUGCAUAUAAUCGUCAUAUUUUACAAUAAUUACACGCUUAUACAACUUCACCAUAACCUAAAAAUGCGCUUUUAAUUUAUUUAUUUUUCAAUAAAUUGUGGUUCAUCCGCAAUUUUUUUUUGCUUAAAAUUCUUAUUAAGUGUAUGCUUUCGACUGAUAUAUAAAUAAAUGCCAAAUUCGGAGGGUGUUAUAUCUGACAAGCACCGAAAAUUUAUUCAGUUUACAUAAAAAAAAUCACAUACUGAUGUAAUCGAUAGCAGCUCUGAUAGUUUAAACAACAAUUCCCCUGAAAUUUUUGAAAAUUACCCAAUCACACCAAGCCAGGACCAAAAUAGUAAUUUUGAUAUAGGUCAAUUCAGAUUGGCGGAAAAGAUGUUGCCACAUGCACAAGAAAAUUUCUUUCUCGCUUAAUUUCACAUCAGUUAACUCUUAAUUUAAAUUGGACGGGAAGAAAUGAAAAAAGUGGUCUUAAAGAGCUUGGAAAUCUAGUUAAGGUCAUUGUAGCUUCUGUUAGGAGAAAUCCGAAUUCCAAAAACGGAACUGCGGACGAAAUUGAACGCGUGAUAAAAACUUGGCUUCGCAAUGCUGCUGAUAGAGAUGGGGGGAGAGUAAGAAGAAAUAAGAAUACUAAUUGAUUUGAUGGAAGUUGAUGAUGGAACGUUUUAUUUUAUUUUUAUACAAAGUUUAUUCGAAGGAGUUGUUGUUUAUUUUGCUUAUUGUAAGUUCAUAUAAAAAAGUUAUUAAGUUAUUCUUGUUUUCAGAUGAAACGUUUUAUUUUAUUUUAUUUUUUCAAUUUGUUUGAAAGAAUGUUUUUUUUUCUUUAUUUGUGUUCAGCCCUGGGUAAAUAUGUAUAUUGAAUAUUAAUGAAUUAUUUAUAUUAUA